GAAUUUUAUAUGUUCCAUCCCAAUUUUCCUUUGAUCUCACAUACAGGUGAGCUAUGAAGCAAAUGGUUGGGUUGCACAUCAUGUUUCUGACAUAUGGGGUAAAACAUCACCAGGUCAAGGUCAGGCUAUAUGGCCAAUGGGUGGAGCUUGGCUUUGUACCCAUUUAUGGGAGCAUUAUACGUAUACAUUGGACAAGGAUUUUCUUAAAAAUAAAGCAUAUCCUUUGUUGGAAGGAUGUACAUCAUUUUU